rnacentral:rRNA from 1 species
UACAGGGGGGGGCAAGCGUUGUUCGGAAUUACUGGGCGUAAAGGGCUCGUAGGUGGCCAACUAAGUCAGACGUGAAAUCCCUCAGCUUAACUGGGGAACUGCGUCUGAUACUGGAUGGCUUGAGUUUGGGAGAGGGAUGCGGAAUUCCAGGUGUAGCGGUGAAAUGCGUAGAUAUCUGGAGGAACACCGGUGGCGAAGGCGGCAUCCUGGACCAACACUGACACUGAGGAGCGAAAGCCAGGGGAGCAAACGGGG